GGAAUAGCCUCUGGAAACGGAGAGUAAUACCGCAUACGCCCUUCGGGGAAAGAUUUAUCGGAGAAGGAUCGGCCCGCGUUGGAUUAGGUAGUUGGCGCGGUAAUGGCGACCAAGCCGACGAUCCAUAGCUGGUUUGAGAGGAUGAUCAGCCACACUGGGACUGAGACACGGCCCAGACUCCUACGGGAGGCAGCAGUAGGGAAUCUUGGACAAUGGGGGAAACCCUGAUCCAGCCAUGCCGCGUGAGUGAUGAAGGCCCUAGGGUUGUAAAGCUCUUUCGCCAGGGAAGAUAAUGACGGUACCUGGUAAAGAAACCCCGGCUAACUCCGUGCCAGCAGCCGCGGUAAUACGGAGGGGGUUAGCGUUGUUCGGAAUUACUGGGCGUAAAGCGCGCGUAGGGGACUAUUAAGUCAGGGGUGAAAUCCCGGGGCUCAACCCCGAACUGCCUUUGAUACUGGUAGUCUUGAGUUCGAGAGAGGUGAGUGGAAUUCCGAGUGUGGAGGUGAAAUUCGUAGAUAUUCGGAAGAACACCGACGGCGAAAGAUUCUGCUGGGCUUGUACUGACACUGAGAGACGAAAGCGAGGGGAGAGAAUGGGAUUAGAUACCCCAGUAUUCCUCGCCGUAAACGAUGGAUAUUAGGUAUUAGAUCUUUAGAAUUUAGUACUGAAGCUAACGCAUUAAAUAUCCCACCUGGGGAGUAUGCUCGCAAGAGUGAAACUUAAAGGAAUUGACGGGGGCCCGCACAAGCGUGGAGCAUGUGGUUUAAUUCGAUGCAACGCGAAGAACCUUACCAGGACAUGACUACAUCUAUACCUCUUUGAAAGAAGAG
rnacentral:rRNA from 1 species